rnacentral:snoRNA from 1 species
GCAGGCUCACUCUGUGCCUGACUGCAAUAUUCAGUCAAGGUGCUUUUUAAGUCUGCUAUAGUAACAAUCCAGGAUGUCGUGAACAUAUCCCUGAUUGUGGAACUCAUGUUUCAACUCUUCUUGGCACAUCACU